GAUGAACGCUGGCGGCGCGCCUAACACAUGCAAGUCGAACGGCACCUAUCUUCGGAUAGAAGCGAGUGGCGAACGGCUGAGUAACACGUGGAGAACCUGCCCCCUCCCCCGGGAUAGCCGCCCGAAAGGACGGGUAAUACCGGAUACCCCCGGGCGCCGCAUGGCGCCCGGGCUAAAGCCCCGACGGGAGGGGAUGGCUCCGCGGCCCAUCAGGUAGACGGCGGGGUGACGGCCCACCGUGCCGACAACGGGUAGCCGGGUUGAGAGACCGACCGGCCAGAUUGGGACUGAGACACGGCCCAGACUCCUACGGGAGGCAGCAGUGGGGAAUCUUGCGCAAUGGGGGGAACCCUGACGCAGCGACGCCGCGUGCGGGACGGAGGCCUUCGGGUCGUAAACCGCUUUCAGCAGGGAAGAGUCAAG
rnacentral:rRNA from 1 species